GCCCUCGGUGGCUCAGAUGGAUAGAGCGUUUGCCUUGUGAGCGGUAGAUCCUGGGUUCGAGUCCCAGUCGGGGCA